rnacentral:lncRNA from 1 species
CCUGCCCCUGCCCGCUGGCCAGAGCCGACCCCACCUGCAACAGCACCUUCCUGCACCUGGACACCCGGGCCUGCUACCCGGGGCCCUGCCUGGGUGAGUGCGCACAGGAAAAAAUACAGGGAGUAGCAUGUUUUCCCAAACCCCAGAUUUCCAACCCCCCCCCCCCGCCCGAGAUAUCCAUCUAUCUCCCUGAUAUUUGAUCUCGUUUCUUUCCCCUUCCCACCAUCUUUUCCUCUGAGCCCUUUGGGAUGUGACCCUUGCUGCUGAGUGACAGGGAACACGGCGAAUUAGGACUUGUGUGAACUCUUGGCUCCCUCUUGCCCUUUUCCUGCGCAGGGCGUUGGCCAGGGCUGGGAUGAGAGUAGAGGGCAGGGGAGGGGCGGGAAGGGAGGAGAGAAGCUGGAGGGGCCUGGCUGGCAUCCCCCCACCUUGGUCCCCAGAGGAGUGUGUGUGGAGCAGCUGGAGCAGCUGGACGCGAUGCUCCUGUCGGGUGCUGGUGCAGCAGCGCUAUCGGCACCAGGGACCAGCGCCCCGAGGGGCGGGGACGGGGGCGGGCCCCCCCUGCACACGACUGGACGGCCACUUCCGGCCUUGCCCCCUCGGCAACUGCUCUGGUGAGAACCCCGGAGCCGGAGGCCGGAGAGCUGAGCCCUGCCCUUGCCCGCACUGACCCCCGCUCUCAGCAGCCCCGUGACCCCCAUGCCUCACGUCCCACCCCUCCCCGCUCCACUGCGAUCUCCCCACUUUGUAGCUGCAGGCUUUGUCCACUUGCGGCUGCUCCCAGGCCCGGAAGGUCUGGCCCACCUCUCGUUGUGGCCACCCUCUCAAUCUCUGCCCCCCUGGCUCCCAUCUGCCAACCUCUGGAGCACCUGCCAGGCCCCUCGCUCCCCGCAGGCCCUAUCCUCCGUGCAGCUACCUGGCUCUCCAAGCCCCGACCAUCAUGACCCUUCCCUAGAGACAGCCACAGGGGCCGAGUGGGCGUUAGACGGGGCAGCACUGGUCAGUCCUUACUGGCAGCCUGGGGCCAGGCUUACACUCUUACGAGGAGGCCCCGAGGGGCCUUGAUGGGACCGUGCACUGUGUGCUCCAGGCUUGGGGCGGGGGCAGGUGGAGGGUGUCUCUGGGCUGCCCCCCCACCAGCCUGCUGGCCUCUGUUCCCCCCCAGAGGACAGUUGCACACCUCCCUUUGAGUUCCAGGCCUGUGGCUCCCCCUGUGCCGGGCUCUGUGCCACGCACCUGAGCCGUCGGCUCUGCCAGGACCUGCCACCCUGCCAGCCUGGCUGCUACUGCCCUGAGGUGAGGGGCGGAGCCAGAGGAGAUGCCCCAGGAGAAGCGGGUCUCGGCCCACACUCCUGCCUUCCUUCUCUCUGCGAUGCCUGUGGCGACACCCCUCCCCACGAUGCCUCUUAAGGGUCCCUCACCUUCUGCCUCGUGCCCGUGUGCCCAUCCAUUUGCUCGGCAACAUGCACGUGCCCCUGCUGUGAGCACUCACACUACUGGCACUCGGGGACAGAGAUGGCUGCCACACAGCUCUGUCCCUGUGUGCCCUUCUGCGCAGGGGCUGCUGGAGCAGGCUGGGGGCUGCAUUCCCCCAGAGCAGUGUAGCUGCCUACACAUCACAGGGGAAGGAGCCAGGGUGACUCUGGCUCCCGGGGACCGCCUGCAGCUGGGCUGCAAAGAGUGGUGAGUUAAGGGGGCGGGGAGGCAGCGUCAGAGGGCUGGGGCCAGGGAAUGGGGGGGCAGGUGGCCCCACAGGGAAAUCGCCCUGGCCUGGACCCAACCCCAACCUCAUCCUGCUCCAAAUGAGCCCAGAGCUCAGGCCACCCCUACGUGAGCCCCACCAGCCACCUCUCUGGGCUGAGUCUGGUCUCCCCAGUCUUACCCCGACCACCCCCUCCCACAGUGAAUGCCGGCGUGGGGAGCUGAAGUGCACCAGCCAGGGCUGUCAAGGUAACGCUGCCCUGGAGAGACCCUAACUGUCCCCAUUUGCCCAGGAUUGGAAGGUUUUCUGGAUCUGGGACCAGGACAGUCCCAGACAAACCGGGAUGUUUGGUCACCCUCCCCUGACCCUCCCAGCAACCUCCUGCAGCCUUUCCUGUUUCCAGCCCUUCCUGGUCAUAACUGGGUCUCCUCCCUCCCCCUCUACUGGGGCUUGUGGUCUCAGGGAGGGUCACUGGGAAGGGUGCCCACUCGCUGCCCUUUCUAGGUCUUCUGCCUCUGAGCGGGUGGUCCGAGUGGUCACCCUGUGGGCCUUGCCUGCCCCCUGGUGUGCUGGCCCCCGCCUCCAGGACUGCCCUAGAGGAGCGCCGGUCUCAGCACCCAGCUGGCCUCUCCCCGACCUUGGCCCCCUUGCUGGCUUCGGAGCAGCACCGCCAUCGCCUCUGUUUGGACCCGGAGACUGGGAGGCCAUGGGCUGGGGACCCAGACCUGUGCACUGCACCACUCAGCCAGCAACGCCUCUGCCCGGACCCUAGGGCCUGCCAUGGUAAUACCGAGGGGCAGAGACCAACAGGGCAGGAGGGAGCCUGAGAUGAGAGAGUGGAGGGAGGGGUACCUGGCCAGGUAGGCCUGGGCCAUGUUGUUUAUUUCAGUAGCCAGGCGCUUAACAAGCCUGCUAAGCCUCCUGCUUGCCCCCAGGGCCUGCGGGAUUUGGGGGUAUUUGGCGAUCUGGCGCUGGAGGGGGGGCGGGCCGCAGCAGGAAGGAUCCCUGCAGCCGAUGAAAGGGGAGGAAGGGGGCUUUGGGUGCUCCGGGCCUAGCAGAGUGUCUGUAGGGCUGGAGCCCAAGGCCUUGGGGUGGGAGCAAGAAGCCAGGGCGGGGCCCUGGGCGCUGACUUCCAUUUUACCUCCCCAGACUUAUGCCAGUGGAGUCCUUGGGGGCCCUGGAGCCCCUGUCAGGUGUCGUGCAGUGGGGGCUUCCGGCUACGCUGGAGGGAGGCAGGGGGCCCCCCUGGAGGAGGCUGCCGGGGGCCUUGGGCUCAGACUGAGAGCUGCAACGUGGAGCCCUGCCCAGGUAACCCCCAUCCUGGCAUCUGGAGGCGGGGCCAAGGACUGUAACACGGGAGAUAGCACCUGAUGAGGAGGUGGCCUCUGCUCCUGGAGGCGUGCCCUGGAGGGCAGGGUGCUGUCCUGGGGGCCCAAAAGUCGGUCCCCAACACAGACUCCUACCUUCUGGUCCUCAGGGGAGAGCUGUGAAGCCCAGGACACCGUGCCCACCCUUGACUGUGCCAACCAGUGCCCUAGAAGCUGUGUGGACCUCUGGGACCGCGUGCAGUGUCUGCAGGGACCAUGCCGUCCAGGUGGCCGGGCCACGCCCACAGCCCAGCCUGGGAGCCCUAGGGCCUCAGACCAGAGCAGCUUGCUUCGCUGAUCCCUACCAGAGAGCAUGUGACCUGCGGGCGGGGACAUGUUACAGGAUCAGGGGUUAUAGGGCAGCAAAGUGGAUCCUUGGGUCACUUUCAGCACCUGGGUAGGGGUCCUGCGUAGAGCGAGCCUUACCUAACACAGGCUUUGUCUGUGAGGACGUUCUGGCAGCCUCAGGGGUCCCUGGGGUGGGGCCCACACAGGGUGGGCUGGAGUGACCCCUUCCUGUGCUCCAGCAGUGGAAACAGUGUGGAGACCGGGUCAAGUGGGGACUCGGGGGGCUGGGGUAGGGGAGGGUGCUCCAGGGUCAGCCUGAAGCUCCGGACCCCAUCUGGCUGCCAGAGGGACCCAUGAUGUGUGCCCGAACCUUGCUUGUCCUCCCCACCCCCCUCAGGCUGCCGCUGCCCCCCUGGCCAACUGGUGCAGGAUGGGCGCUGUGUGCCCAUCUCCUCCUGCCGCUGUGGCCUCCCCAGCCCCAAUGCCUCAUGGGUGGUGGCCCCAGCCGAGGUGGUACAGCUGGACUGCAAAAACUGGUAUGGCUGCCCACUGGUGGCCAAGCAGGGGAUGGGGAGUUUUAGGUGGGAGGCUUGGGACAGGUCAGGGUGGAGGGCGUUAGCGGGAAGCAAAGGCUCUGUUCCCCUUGACUUGUGCCCUUGACCCCUGUCCGCAGCACCUGUACCAACGGGUCCCUAGUGUGCCCACGCCAUGAGUGCCCAGUCCUUGGGCCUUGGUCAGCCUGGAGCAGCUGCUCUGCUCCCUGUGGUGGGGGCAGCAUGGGGCGACGUAGGAGCUGUGAGGAGGGUCCUAUAGGGGCGCCAUGCCAGGCCCAGGACACAGAGCAACGGCAGGAAUGUAACCCGCAGCCCUGCCCUGGUGAGCACCUGGGGUGGGGGAGUGAGGGGGGAGCCUCCCUGCCCUCUGGUGCUGCUGAGCUCGGCCGGCGUUCAACAGCGUGGGCGGUGGGUCCCGAGGCGGUCCCCUCCCUGGUACUCCACCUCACCAUCUGUGCGCUCCCCCCAGAGUGCCCGCCUGGCCAGGUGCCCAGUGCCUGUGCCGCUUUGUGCCCACGCCUCUGCUCGCAUCUGCAGCCUGGUGCCCUCUGUGCGCAGGAACCCUGCCGGCUCGGCUGUGGCUGCCCCGGAGAGCAGGUAUGGACAGUGCCCUGACUGCCGUAUGGGGGGGCAGGCAGGUGGGGGGCAGAGAAGUGUGGUGUGAGCAGAACUGAGCCCGCGCCUUCCUGCCGCAGCUGCUGCACAAUGGCACGUGUGUGCCCCCUGCGGCGUGCCCCUGCACCCAGAUCUCUCUGCCCUGGGGCCUUACCUUGACUCUUGAAGAACAGGCCCGGGAGCUUCCCCCAGGAACUGUGCUCACCUGGAACUGCACGCGCUGGUGAGGGCCCCGGGCAGGGGGGACAGGGGGAGGAGGGAGCUAGGGCAGGGAGGGGGUGGAGGGCAGCAUUGCUGAGAAGGGGGGUGGGGAGGAGGGCACCGGAGGCGUCCGAACACGUGCUUCUGUCUUCCCAGUAUCUGCCAAGAUGGAGCCUUCAACUGCUCCCCAGCUGACUGUCGUGGUGAGAUGUGGCUGUCUAGGCCCCUGCUGGUCCUUCCAAAGCCAGGGUGGGGUUGGCCCCGAUGAGGGCAGAGGGCGCUGCCUGCCCUAGGCAAAGCUGUCUCUCCCAAGAAGCCCCUUCCUUGCUCCGUCCACACUGGUGUUGGGGGCAUUCCUGUGAGCACACGGCUGUGAGUGAUGCAGGAAGUGGAGGGUCUUUCCCUGCAGAUGAGGAAGCAAAGGCUGAGGGUGAGCUAAAGUAGGACCCUUGUCUGGCAUCUGCCCUGUGCUGUUUUACCCCCAUCUGAUCAAAGUCAACAGGCGUUUGCUAAGGGCUCACAGGUGCCCAGCUCGGGCACACUGGGCUCUGUGUGGAUUCAGAGGCACACAGGCCUGGUGAGUCCUGAGCAGCCCCAGUCUGGCUGCUGAGGGCCAGCUCACCCACCGGAACAGGUAGGGACAGGAGACAGUUUCUGGCUCACUGACCAGCAGGCUGCACCCACAGGACUGGAAAUCGGUGCCAUGAAUGGAGAGGUCAGGGUGGACAGGACUGGUCAGGGGAGGCUUCCUGGAGAAGGCCAGACUCGAGUUAGGCCCCGUUAGUAUUUGGAAGGUGGAUAAGAGCAGACGGGCAUGUUUGGAGGCCUAGAGGCCCAGAGCCAGCCGAGUGGACAGCACUGGGAAGGCAGGAGGGACUCUAGGGGUGUCUGGUGUGGGAGGGGGGAGAAUCGAAGCCGGACCCAGGGCUGACCUGAGUGGUGGUGGUGGUGGUGGGGUCUUCCCUGGCAGAGUGCCCCUCCGGGGAAAUGUGGCAGCAGGUGGCCCCUGGGGAGCCAGGGCCCUGCGAGCGGACGUGCCGGGAGCCCAAUGCCACGGAGACCCAGGGCAGCUGCGGUGUGGGGCAGGCCCCAGGCUGUGUGUGCCAGCACGGACACUUCCGCAGCCAGGCGGGCCCGGGCCCCUGCGUGCCCAUAGACCACUGCGAGUGCUGGCACCGUGGGCGUCCCCACCCGGUGAGACACUGUAGCCCCUCCGGGCCACCCAGCCCUCCCCCACCCCCGCCCCCCUCCACUGGCUCCUCCCCCUGUGCCAGGAUCUGCAGCAGCAGACAGCUCGGCCAUCAGCCAUCACCCAUCACACGGGGACAGUCUCCAGGCCCCAUCAGCCCACCUCCCUCCCGAGACUCUUGUCCCUGACUUUGGUCUCUGGCCCCUGUCCUGACUGGUUUCAGGGAUGAGGGAUUGGCGGGGGGUGGGGGAGGGUGUAGUAUAGAAAAGUCUAACUGGCAGAGAUGGGUAGAGAUGGACGGGAGGGUUCUCCCCUCUCCCCAGCCUGGAUCCGAAUGGCAGGAGGCCUGUGAGAGCUGCCGCUGCCUCCGUGGGAGGAGUGUCUGCACCCAGCACUGCCCCCUCCUCACCUGUGCCCAGGUACCCGCCUGCAGCCCUGCUGCCCUCCUUCCUGGGUCCCUCCCCAGAGGCUGGUCUUAGGGCCUUGAGCAGGCAGUGCUGGGGCCCUGGGGUCAUCCUCCUGAGUGCACUGGGGACCACUCCCUCUGCAGGGCGAGGUGACCGUGCAGGAACCAGGGAGCUGCUGUCCCACUUGCCGCCGAGAGGCUCCGGGUAUGCCGGGGACCUGGGGCACUUCCUGCCAUGCCUCUCCCUGCUCUGGGCCCUUCUCCCAAACUGCUCCCGUGCCCACCCUAGGGGGCCUGCCGUCCCCAGUGCCGCCCACCAUGGGGAUCAGCAGAGUGGUGACGCCCAGUGCUGCAUCAUGGCGCCUGGCCACCGCUGCCCCAACAGCCUCAGGUGCCCCUCAGGUCCACAGUGUCCCCUUUACACAGAGUCCCCGCAUCGAGGCCCUUUCUCUCUGCCCUGCUCCCGCCUUCUGUGCUCACCUUCUUCCCACAGAGGGGCAGGCAGCCUCCUGCCGGCAUCUCACGGAGCUGCGCAACGUCACCAAGGGCGCCUGCUACCUGGACCAGGUGGAAGUGAGCUACUGCAGUGGGCACUGCCCGUCCAGCAUCAGCGUCAUGCCUGAGGUGAGCGAGGGGGCUGCCGUGCAGGCCCAGGAGAGUCAGGUCAGCCUGCACCCCUGAGGGACUGCUGCGGCCAGCCUAGGCCUGGGCAGUGCCCAGGGGACACGAGGGACUCGGUUGAUCUCAAAGGGGCACAGCUCAGAGCCAGGGGCGAGUUUUCACCAAGGCGGUGGCCUGCACCUGCUGCUUGGCCCUGUCACCCUCAGCGGGGCUUGGGCCCCAAGCCUACUCCAGGCCUCCACCCUGUGCUGAGGGCUUCCCAGGACAUCAGCAAGAAAGGCACAAAGGACCUACGUUAGGCUCUGAAAUCACAGCCCAUCAUAUAGUGAGGACAAGUUCUUUAGGACAGACCAUUUACACACAGCAUUGUCCCAGACAUUCCUGGCAAGGCAUAUUAUGAGCACGUCCCAGAAGACCUCUGCCCUGCGCGUGCUCUCCUUGGACCCAGAAGGCCCAGCCCUGCUCCAUGUGCAGACCUUGUCAGGAGCUCUGUGCCCACCCUGACUCCCCUCAUCCUGAGCCUGGAGAGCUAUGGCUCCAGUUCUAGCCUGGGAGGGUCCUGGCCCUGCCUCAGCUCACCGAUGGUGUGGCCAUUCCCUCCUGUCUCGACCCACCUGGGUCAUCUACUCCUGGAAGACAGAGGUGCUUUCCUACCUAGUCCUCAACGCUUGGCCACUCUCUGCUCCCCUGGGUGCUCCCGGUACCUCCUGGUAUUCCCAGACCAUUCCCAAACAAUAUUUGGAUUUGUUAAAACAUAGGAGAGUGGUUAAGAGAUAAGUGAGUGAUAGAGGGAUAGAAAUCAGAUGGAGAUUUGUUUUUACUGAGGUACAAUUGACAUGCAAUGUUAGUUUCAGGCGCACACAUAGCGAUUCCACAAUUCUGUAAAUUACACAGCGCUCCCCACAAUAAGUGUAGUCGCCAUUCAGUGGUAUUGUGUUAUUACACAGCGCUCCCCACAAUAAGUGUAGUCACCAUUCAGUGGUAUUGUGUUAUUAACUAUACUCCCUAUGCUGUACUCUUCAUCCCCAGAGGGGUUUUUUUUUUUAACUGAAUCUUUUGUAACUCGGUGCUGUUGAAUACAGUGCCUAUUUCAAAAGUAAAAUUACAAUGGAAUUAUACAGAAGUUAGAUCAAAUAUUCGGUGACACUCACGUAGUUACUAUAUAAUCGAAUAGCAGGAGGGGUCUGGAGUGAGAACUCACUUUGCACUUAGGAUCACAAUUGUGCAGUUUAGAGCUUCCCACCUUGCAGCGUCAGAAAGUAUUAGAUCCGCCUAAGGGGAUGGUAAGCAAGCCCCUUGGGGUAGGGCCGUAUCUCUCCCCUGCUGCCAGGAGGCAGUGAUGAGCAGUUAAAAGCAUUCUUACCGUGCAGGUGCGCGCUCAGAUGGCUGGGGCUUACAGUGAAGGAGGUGGGCUUCUUGGGGAAACGGGAGCUUGAUGGCGACACAUCCCUUCCUUACCCCGCUGUCCUGCUUGGCCAGGAGUGUUGGGCCCUGGCCGUACCCCGGAUGGGAAGGCCAAGAGAGCGAAGGGAGGUGGCUCGGGCAAACUCGCGUGGCCCCUCCCCAGCUCAGCCACGCCCUCCCGCAGGAGCCAUACCUGCAGAGCCAGUGUGACUGCUGCAGCUACAGCCUGGACCCCGAGAACCCGGUGCGGGUCCUGCACCUGCGCUGUCCCGACGGCCACGCGGAGCCCGUGGUGCUGCCGGCCAUCCGCAGCUGCCAGUGCAGCGCCUGCCAGGGUGGGUCUGGGCGGGGCGGGGCUGGGGUGGGAGGGCCGGGGACCGAGGCUGGACACCUGCAGGGGCGGGGCCGGGCUUUCCGAAAGGCGCCCGGUUUCCCGAAGCUCAGGCCCUCGUGGGAUUCAUCCUUCUUGACCCCUUCUGACCCUCUUCGUCCCCCGUCUUGGCUUGCUUGUUGGCUUCGUCUCCAAUGCAGCGCAAGCUUGGGUGUUUGGAGUCGGUCACAGCUGCUUCCUCCCAGCUCAUCUGUUUCCUUCCUUGCUGAGCAUCCGUGACCUCAGCUUCGCGACCUGACUGACUGUGCACAGGCUUUUGGGGGGGGGGGCUUGGUGGGAGCGCAUGUGUGAAGCGCCUGCCAGGUGCCUGGUUCUUGAUAGGUCCCCGAGGCCACAUUGUGGCAGGUGAGAAACAGGGGCAGGGGCGCUCACAGCGCCUGGGUGGAGUGCAGGGCAAAAGCACGCCUUUCUCUGGGCUUCUUCCUGGCGGGGCUUCUCUCCUGCCAGUUUGCUCCACUGCUCCCCCUCUGGCUGCACCCCUUCCCGGCCUGACCACUGCCUCUGUGCCAGUGCAUCUCCCCCUUAUCUGUCCUCCAGGAGGUGAUUUCUCAAAGCACUGACGGUCCCGCUGGAUGAGGCUGCCCAGCCACCACCCCUCGUGCGAUCACCGGGCCCAGAGGCACCGACCCCCUCCUCCCGUGCCCACCCAUCCACUCCAUGCCCUGGUACCAGCAUAUCCCAAAUAAAGUGACAUCAGCAGC